rnacentral:lncRNA from 1 species
CUAUCACUGCAUAUCCUGUUGUUGCUCCUGCAGUUGGUCCUAGUGCAGCUGUAGCAGCACCUUAUGGGGGACCUGGUGGCCCAUAUCCACCACCCCCAAUGGCUGCAGGUUAUGCUUAUCCACCUCCACCAUCAUAUGCUGGAUACCCUCCACCUCCUCCUCCAGGUUAUGGCUAUCCACCACCGCCACCAGGUUAUGGAUACCCACCAGCACAACCAGGAUAUGGGUACCCACCGCCAGUACAGCAACAACAACCAAAGAAGAGCAAGUUUGGGUUGGGAUUGGGAGCUGGAUUGCUAGGAGGAG